UAGCAUAUGUUUAGUCUAGCCAAGAAGGUGCAAGGGCCAAAGGGAAGUGGCUCAGGGAGUAAAGGGGAGAGAAGGGAGGGCAGGACAUGGCUGCCACCAGAGGGUCCCUGGGCCGGGACCCAGAGUAGUGGGCGGGCCUGGGUCCCUCCCUCCCCCCUUACAUUGCACCUGGUUGUGGAGGAGGGUGGCCCAAUACAGACUGUGGCUUGCACCUGAGGCAAAGGGCUAAACUUUGGGGCUGCAGUUGGCCAUGUGGUCAGGUACAGACUGAGGACUGCUGAUCUCCUGGAAGGGGAGAGAACUGAGUGGGGCACAGCCAGAAGGCUGUGUCCAGAAGAAGACGCCGCAAGACAGGGAGCAACGUGGGUCCCAGACAGCACAGCAGAGCAGACAAUGGGUGAGACACCACCUGCAGAGGGCGCUCCAAAGCUGGACAGUGUUAAUUCCCAGAGCAACCAGCAGGAGGCACCGUGGUGGUUGUGACGGCAUUUCCUGGCUCUGAGAGGACCUCAGCGUGCCACAAGAUAACUGCUGUUUCCUGCUCUGGCACACCCAGCACUAUCCACAGUGGCUCCAUGGUUACACUGGUUCAUGGGAGAGAAUCAAUGUGCACCAAAAGACACAAAUGGAGGAAUGAGCCUGCCACUACCAAAGACACUGGAUGCGGAUAGAGGACUAUCACUCCCCUCUUCUCC